CUGCGCCUUGGUGAGCGAGCGGCCGCGGGACAGGCGGUACACCGUGUGAAGCAUGGAGUCCACCAUGAUGGCGCGGUGCUCGGUCCCCGCGAAGAGCGGCGCACACUUGGUGAUGAGCGGCAGCACCGCCAGGCACAGGAUUGACUAGCCUAAGACCAUCCACAUCACGAGAGCUCCGUCAGUGUCGUCAAGUGCCCAACUGAAGAGGUUCGAGGUCGCCCAGGCGUGCCCCUCCCUGUCCCUGGACCUCCAGCUCUCACAUGCAUCUCCGGCGCACAGCGUCCCAGCAGGUCGAUCAAGGCAGCGUAGAAGGACAUGAUGGCGUGUCCCAGGUGCACCCGGCUCUCCUCGGGGGGCUCCUCCCCAAAGCUGCAGAAGGAGGGGGGUGGCGUGUGGGGGAGGCAGCAAGGGGCACGGGGAAGUUGGGCUCUGCCGCUGAGAAGGGGGUGGGAGACUCACUGCUCACGCCGCCGGUCCCUGCGGACGCCCGGGCCAUCCCGCGCCGGGUCCUCAGAGAUGCGAAUGGCCUCUUCGAUGGCGGCCAGCAGCCCCGAGCCGCCCUCACCCCUCAGAGCAGGCCCGAAGCACUCGGGCUUGCGGAUGAGCAGCCGCACCACCACGUUGGCGUUCUCCUCCACACUCUCACCUGGUGGCUCCGGCGGGUCCGGAGGCCUCAUGAGCCGCUGCCCCGGGGACCCUGCCCCGGCAGCCCAGGACCCAGCACCUCAAGGGUUAACCCCGGGCCCCCACUGGCCUCUGGACCCUGCCCCAGCCCGCCUGGAGGAAUCCCUGCCGAGCCAGGACGGGGACCACACCCUGAGGGAGGCUGGCUGCGUCGGGGACCCCGGCCUCCUGUCCCGCCGCCACCGGCCUCCUGUCCCGCCGCCACCGCCAACUCCUGACUCACCGUUGACGAAGACGGCGAAGCGCAAAAAGUCCAGGUAGCGCUCACCGCCAAUAGGGUUCCAGCCGAUGUCUGGGUACCCUUUGGCCAGGAGCAUGGGGCAGCUUUGAAGGCCACAACCCGCCAGGUAGGACACGACCUGGGAGUGGAGACGGGCUCAGACCGAGGCCAGACCCGCACCACCUCCUCCCCAAGGCUCACUUCCCUGCCCAUCGCUUGAGCUCUGCGACCUCAUUCACCUCUGGAUCUCUCCACGAACGAUAAUCCUCACCCUGAGCCUUCACCUCCCACCUGGACCGUCACGUGGUCUCCUUCCUGGGUUCCCUGCUCCCCCAGUCUAUCCCACGCACAGAAGGACCCUGCAAACAGCCUGAGUCAGGCCACGUCCCUUCCCUGCUUGGAACCCUCCUGUGGCGCCAUCUCGCUCCAGGUAAAAUGCAGAGGCCCCCUGCACAAGACCCUCUGCACAAUCUUCCCUGUCACCUCCCUGCCCUCACUUCCCACCCCUAACCCCUCACUCCCCCUGCUCUAACCAAACUGGUCUCAAACUCAUGAAGCUCACGUCUGCCUCGGGGUCUUUGCACUGGCCGUUCCCCUGCCUGGAAUGCUCUUCCCCUGAUGUCCGCAUGGCCCCUCUCCUCCUUCAGAGCUUCACUUGAAAGUCACUUUCUCAGUGAGGCAUUCUCUGAUCACACUUGUCUAAACUUGGACACCCUCCUGACACUUGAUGUUUCUUUCCCCUGCUCACUUUUUUCAUCCUUAACACUCGUCACUAGCUAAUACACUAUAUGUUUUGCUUAUUUGUCUUGUUUACUAUUCAUCUUCCCACCUAGAACGUCAGCUUCAUGAGGACAAGAAUUUUUGAUUGUCUCAAUCACUGUAGUACCCCUGCUGCCUUGGUCAGAUCUGGCACGUAGUAGGUGCUCAGUAAAUGUUUGUUGAACGAGUAAUACUAUACGAGCAGAUAACUCUUGUUGAGUGCUUACUGUUUUAUCAGUGGUUUCAUGGACUAACCCAUUCUGUGCUCGGAAUAACCCUAUUGGAUUAUUAUAUUCAUUCUACAGACGAGGAGGCAGGGGCCUGGAGAAUUUAAGUCACUUGUCCAAGGCCACACAGCAAGGGAGCAAGGGGAGUUAUUGUAAGGUGCCGAACUCUAGAGCCCAUGCCCUUCAUUGCUACACACAGUAGUGCGGGGGGGGGGGGGGAGGCAAGGAAUGUGCCAAGGUCAUGCAGCUGCGGGAGGGUGAAGCGUGGGUUUGCACUUGGCCCUGUGAUGAGUGACGGCCCUUGCUCUUUCCCUGCAAAUUAUUCCCCCUCUGAUUCAAUCCCGGACCGUCCCAUAGACUGACAGGUGCCCCAAGGGGCCAGGUGGAGUCCAGGCCUCCUCCUCCCACACCUUCUCCAGGUCCUGCUCCUGCAAUGCCAAGGCCAGCUCAUUGUUGUCGAUGACAGAGGCAGCUGCCACGUCCAGAGGCGUGGAGCCCUGCAUGCCUGUGAGGGCGAGAGGCAGAGAGAGUGCUCUUCAGAGCAGAUAGCUCAGGUGGUCGAACAUGGAGCGCUGGUUCUGCCGGCUGAUGCGACAGAAGUAGCAGAGGAAGCGGCAGCAGCUUGUGACCAUCUUGGGGAAGCGGAUCUCCUGGGGCGGGCAGAGCGGGCCGCUGGUCAGUGCCUCCCCCCGUGGCCCCCUGCCCUGAGCUCCUCGGCCCACACAGGCCCCUUACCUUGGAUUCGCCACCACCGAGGACAUUCACCAUGACCUCCAUGACUGUCUCGUGCAUGCCCAGUGCCCGCAUCAGGUUCGGGUGUUGGUAGAAGACUUUGUUGUUCAUGAUGUUCCUGUGAAUAGGUAGAGUACGGUGGCGUUUCCAGGGGCCGGGUGCGACCCAAGUCCAGGGAGAGCCCCCAGAGCCUUCACCGUCCCCCUUCACAGAUCCCAACCCAUUCAAUCUUUACGUCUACUCUGGAUGGCAGGAAUGAAAUUACCCCGAUUGUACAGAUAAGGAAACUGAGGCAUGGAUCCAAGGUGGGCUCCCCUAGAGCAGAGACCCUUGCCAUGUUGCAUGUCGUAUCCCCAGAUGCCUAGAAAGGGCCUGGCACAAAGUAGGUGCUCAAUAAACGCUUGCUGAGUGAAUGAAUGAGGCA